GGAUUAAAGUAGCAAAGUGCCCUGAUCACUGGUUUGUAGAGAGGAUUAAAGAACUCAAGAUCCUGGUGAGUUACUCCAUUCACUUUGUUAUUUUUCAUGGCCCACUGCUUUGCAUUAAACAGAGUAAGUCAGCUAAUACUUUUUGACUGAACACUUAAAUAACUAGGGCUGGGUAUCCUGAGGCCAUUCCACAAUAUAUUUCUGAAACAGUUUCCAGACUCUUCCUUUGAAAAUAAAAACUUUGUAUAGCCUCGUAGAAAACUGGCCCUAUCUGUUUGCUUAUACUAGAAUAAUCCAAAACUGUCCCUUCAAUAAAUUAAAAAAAAAAAAAAAAGAAAGAAUGAAAAUGGAGCUGGGGUGGUAGCUCAUGAUUGUAAAUGCCAGCAUCGGAGAGGUUAAGGCAGGAGGAGCAACUCAAGUUCAAAGCCAGCCUAGGCUACACAUAGAAGUUCGUUCAAGCCAGCCAAGGCUACAGACCGAGAUCUUCCUCGUCUCGAAAUAAAAAAGUAUAAUAAGAAUAAUAAAGUAAGAAAGGAAAAAUAACCAAGAUUUGCCCAAAAAAGGGGGUUCAGUGGGCAAGCAAGCCCCAUGCCUCCAAAGUUUUCUAAGGACUGCACACUACCGUAGGACAAAUAAAGGGCACCUGCAAGCAUAAACAAAGUCAUGCUUUUAAAAGCUAGGCAUACCAACAAGGACACAAUACCCUAUCCUGGCAGGCAGCGUGACCUCUCCCAAAGCCACUGCAGCCAUGGCUCCUGUCACAGGUGCUGCCCCUCCCUCAGCAACUAAACUGCCACCCUCUGGCACGUGCAGCUGGACCGCUAUUUAUAACCUCCUGUGGAAGCCCAUUGGCUCUGGCUACAUAGUAGUUAUUGUGCCUCUCAAGUUUGAACCAGCUCUGGCCAGAACUACACCCUGACCUCUAAUAGAGCCCACCGUGACUUACCAAUCCAAACCCCUUUUUCUCAGUAUUCAGAAACUACCACCAGUCAGCCCGGACCUACAGUCACAUCUUUUCCUAUACACCUAACUGGACACCCCGCCUGAACACUCUCAAAGUUCAAGUACAACUUAGGAGCGCCCAGCUGUCAUUCUUCUAGUCUCCUGCAGGAGCCUCUGCGCCCCACUUGCUAGACACAGCCGACCCCGCCCCCCUGCUGCUCUCUCUCGGGUCCCCUUCGCCGAGGGACCGGGGAUCUGCGCUGGCUGCCCGCCUUUUCCAGCAGCCCCUAGGCGCUGCAGGGCUGGUUGGCUCACCUGGACCGGCAGGCGGGACAGAUGGCGACCCCGGGCUGCGAGCAAACGCCACGCCGAGCUAGCAGACCCGGGGUUGGCCCGCGGCGUUGUGCCUCCAACCCGGAAGAACAGCCCCAACUUUGAGGCGGCGGCGGCGACCACGUGACACAGGGCUGCCUAGACCCGGACCCGCGCCCCCUUUCGGCACCCCUUCUCCCCCUCCCCGAGCCUCCUGCCAAACCCGCUUGGCCCGAUCGCCAGUCUGCAAAGGAGAAAAAGACUCCACCAGAUGCACGCUUACAGCGCAGCAGCUGGUCCCCUCCGGGUGGCCGCUGAAGCCCCUUUGUCUCUGCCAGGGCCCCAGGCCCGCAGCCCCGCCCCCUUGCUCUUGCUCAAUCGGCCUCUGUCAAUCAAACCCGAUGCCAAGCACUGCAACUCAAGUUUUUAGGAAUUCGUACCUCUUCUUUCCCCCCAGGAGACUAAGUUACAAAGUGUGAUUUCCUCACCGGUCUCCCAGCAGAGCAAAUAAAC
rnacentral:lncRNA from 1 species